GAUGAACGCUGGCGGCGUGCCUAAUACAUGCAAGUCGAGCGAACAGAUGAGGAGCUUGCUCCUCUGACGUUAGCGGCGGACGGGUGAGUAACACGUGGAUAACCUACCUAUAAGACUGGGAUAACUUCGGGAAACCGGAGCUAAUACCGGAUAAUAUAUUGAACCGCAUGGUUCAAUAGUGAAAGACGGUUUUGCUGUCACUUAUAGAUGGAUCCGCGCCGCAUUAGCUAGUUGGUAAGGUAACGGCUUACCAAGGCAACGAUGCGUAGCCGACCUGAGAGGGGGAUCGGCCACACUGAAACUGAGACACGGUCCAGACUCCUACGGGAGGCAGCAGGAGGGAAUCUUCCGCAAUGGGCGAAAGCCUGACGGAGCAACGCCGCGGGAGUGAUGAAGGUCUUCGGAUCGUAAAACUCUGUUAUUAGGGAAGAACAAAUGUGUAAGUAACUAUGCACGUCUUGACGGUACCUAAGCAGAAAGCCACGGCUAACUACGU
rnacentral:rRNA from 1 species